rnacentral:rRNA from 1 species
AUUGAACGCUAGCGGCAGGCCUAACACAUGCAAGUCGAACGAGUGGCGGACGGGUGAGUAAUGUAUGGGAACCUGCCCAAUGGAGGGGGAUAACUACUGGAAACGGUGGCUAAUACCGCAUACCAUCGGAUGUGCCCAGAUGGGAUUAGCUAGUUGGUGGGGUAACGGCUCACCAAGGCGACGAUCCCUAGCUGGUCUGAGAGGAGGACAGGCGACACUGGAACUGAGACACGGUCCAGACUCCUACGGGAGGCAGCAGUGGGGAAUAUUGGACAAUGGGGGCAAGCCUGAUGCAGCCAUCCCGCGUGGAUGAAGAGGGCCUUCGGGUUGUAAAGUACUUUCAGCGAGGAGGCGGUACUUGCAGAAGAAGCACCGGCUAACUACGUGCCAGCAACCGCGGUAAUUC